rnacentral:rRNA from 45 species
UGACCUCGGAUCAGGUAG